rnacentral:rRNA from 1 species
UACGGAGGGUGCGAGCGUUGUCCGGAAUCACUGGGCGUAAAGGGCGCGUAGGUGGCGUCGCAAGUCAACGGUGAAAGCUCGACGCUCAACGUCGAGUCGGCCGUCGAUACUGCGAGGCUUGAGCACUGUAGAGGCUAAUGGAAUUCCGGGUGUAGCGGUGGAAUGCGUAGAGAUCCGGAAGAACACCGGUGGCGAAGGCGAUUAGCUGGGCAGUUGCUGACACUGAGGCGCGACAGCGUGGGGAGCAAACAGG